GCACCCUUAGCUCAGUUGGAUAGAGCAACCGCCUUCUAAGCGGUCGGUCGCUGGUUCGAAUCCAGCAGGGUGCACCA
rnacentral:tRNA from 1 species